GCUGAAAUUAACCCAUAAGACGAGAAGACCCUGUGGUUCUUCAAAACCAAAACCACCAAACAUGCUUCCUGGGUUUUUAGUUGGGGCGACUUUGGAGCAAAAAAAACCCUCCAAAACAUAAAUCCAUUUAUUAAGACUAACACAUCAAAAAUAAUAUCAUAGACCCAGCAGUACCUAUUUACUGCCUGACCAAUGAACCAAGUUACCCCAGGGAUAACAGCGCCAUCCUCUUCUAGAGUCCCUAUCGACAAGAGGGUUUACGACCUCGAUGUUGGAUCAGGGCACCCCUAUAGUGCAGCCGCUAUAAAAGGUUCGUUUGUUCAACGAUUAAAGUCCUACGUGAUCUGAGUUCAGACCGGACG
rnacentral:rRNA from 1 species